GCGUUGGUGGUUCAUUGGUAGAAUUCUUGGCCUUCUAUGUGGGGGAACUGGGUUUGAUUCCUGGCCAACGUG
rnacentral:tRNA from 1 species